UACGGGGGGAGCAAGCGUUGUUCGGAUUUACUGGGCGUAAAGGGCGCGUAGGCGGCCACCGCAAGUCGACUGUGAAAUCUCCGGGCUUAACCCGGAAAGGUCAGCCGAUACUGCGGGGCUAGAGUGCAGAAGGGGCAACUGGAAUUCUCGGUGUAGCGGUGAAAUGCGUAGAUAUCGAGAGGAACACCUGCGGCGAAGGCGGGUUGCUGGGCUGACACUGACGCUGAGGCGCGAAAGCUAGGGGAGCGAACGGGAUUAGAUACCCCGGUAGUCCUAGCCUUAAACGAUGAAUGCUUGGUGUCUGGGGUUUUAUAGUCCCCGGGUGCCGUCGCUAACGCUUUAAGCAUUCCGCCUGGGGAGUACGGUCGCAAGACUG
rnacentral:rRNA from 1 species